AACGAACGCUGGCGGCAGGCCUAACACAUGCAAGUCGAGCGGGCACUUUCGGGUGCUAGCGGCGGACGGGUGAGUAACGCGUGGGAAUAUGCCCUUUGGUACGGAAUAGCCUCGGGAAACUGGGAGUAAUACCGUAUGUGCCCUUCGGGGGAAAGAUUUAUCGCCAAAGGAUUAGCCCGCGUUGGAUUAGGUAGUUGGUGGGGUAAUGGCCUACCAAGCCGACGAUCCAUAGCUGGUUUGAGAGGAUGAUCAGCCACACUGGGACUGAGACACGGCCCAGACUCCUACGGGUGGCAG
rnacentral:rRNA from 1 species